rnacentral:rRNA from 1 species
AGGAUGAACGCUGGCGGUGUGCCUAAUACAUGCAAGUCGAACGAAGCCUUCGGGCUUAGUGGCGGACGGGUGAGUAACACGUUGGUACCUACCCCGAAGUGGGGAAUAACUGCCCGAAAGGGUGGCUAAUACCGCAUAAUACCGCAAGGUUAAAGCGAGUAAUCGCGCUUCGGGAGGGGCCUGCGUCCCAUUAGCUAGUUGGUAGGGUAAUGGCCUACCAAGGCGACGAUGGGUAGCUGGAUCGAGAGGUUGACCAGCCACACUGGGACUGAGAUACGGCCCCAGACUCCUACGGGAGGCAGCAGUAAGGAAUCUUCCACAAUGGACGAAAGUCUGAUGGAGCAACACCGCGUGCAGGAUGACGGCCUUCGGGUUGUAACUGCUUUUAUAUGGGAAGAUUAUGACGGUACCAUAUAGAAUAAGGACCGGCUAACGUACGCGCCACGCAGCCGC